AUGACUUACCCUUGCAUAUACAAGUCUCCUGAAGAGCAAAGACUUUGAAUUGCACUAGAUGGGAUAAUUUUAAAAGAUUUAAUGAAAGAAUAUAGCUGCAUGUUGCCUCGCAGUACAAAUGCACACAUGCAUACACACAGAGGAAUGCACACAUUUAAAAAAAAAAGAAAAAUUGAACCGAGUGAGUGCUAUGUUAGCAUACACUGUGUGCUUAUUGGGAAAUAUAAAUACACCCAGCAGCACAAGGUAUUUCAGGCUAGAGGCAUAGCAUGGAAAAAAUUAACCCUGGGCAGCCUUUUCUCACACUUCCCUUCACUCCCUGUCCUCCUACCAGGGAGUCUCAUAGAGCGAAAGACAUUUUGAGAAUCAUAGUUUUCUAGACUGGCAGUGCACCUUACUGCUGCUGGGGAGAAACCUUCACCCUGUUUUUUUGCUGCCAAAGCUUUUGUCCAGAGGGCAAAAAGACAUGCUGAGUUGGGACACCUUUGACUUGUAAGUGUAUUCACAUACUUUUGAUUGAUCAUAGUCAUCUUCCACGGAUCCCUUGGACAUAGUCUGUGGACCCCAGAUUGAAAACCACUGCCUUAGACAGUGCCCAGGGUAUGUACCUCACUCAUCCACCCUACAUUAUGCUAUUGUUUCAGUCAAUAUUUAAUUGUACUUAACUAUACAUGAGAAUACACUUUCAUUGACUUCAGCAGUUGUGUCAGUGGCUCCAGGAUCAGAGCCUAAAUUACUUGGUCAUAUGCUAGAGACCAUUGUUGUUAAAAUGAGGGGAGAGAAAUUCUGCAGUCCCUCGUUCUGAGUUUAUGACUUUUGUUUGGCAGGUGGUCUCAGAGUACAGAGUCCUUCUUUUCUUUUCUUUUCUUUUUAAGGAUCCCUUCACCUGACUAAGGGUUGGCAGACCUGGACUUUUGACUUCUAUGUUAAUUUGCAGAAGGGGAAGUAAAAGCAAAAGGGUCACAGCUUCCAAAUGUAGAUGAAUAAAAAUGUGAUGAGUACAGCCACAUUAAAGGCCCAUAUUCUUCACUCACCAUCAGGGACAGACCUGGAGCUUCUUUGGAGCACCAUGCUAGAUACAUGGAGAACUGACCUGGAAGAUACAGAAAAACCCCUAACAUACAUGCACAGAGAACAGAACUUUUUGUUUUUAAGAAGUUAUUUUCAGAAUAGUUUGUCUGGUUCUCUUAGAAAUGAAUGCGACUUAGCCAUGAUUCUCAGUUGCUUUCAGAAGUGGCAGCAGCCAUUCUCUAGUAGAUUAUAGAAAACAAAAAAGGCUAUUUGUUGAUUGCUUUCCAUCUGCAUGCAUAUGGCCCUUGAAAAUCUUAUUUUUAGGCUGGAAUGGCUUGAAUGAUCCAGCUGUGCGACUGAUUUGUCUCUGAUUCACUCUCACUUCCUGAUGAUGAAACUUGAGCUGACCUAGAAUACAACCCUGAAACUAGCAGUUGCAUAAUGGCUAGCCAUCAGCCCAAAUACCUUGGUUUAACUGGGGACAAUGGGACAGUUGGAAUUCUGGGUACUUCUGUGUACACCACACAUGAAAGACAUCCACAUCCAAGCAUGUCUCUUUCCUGAAUGAGAAGGUAGGAGGGUUGCUCAUAUCCCUUCACUUCCUAUAGAUUUUUUUCUGAACCCUGGGAGAGGAUGUGGGUUAGGAGGGGAGUGGAUAGGAUGGGUCAGGUGAUCAGACUUCAGCCUUGUUCUCUUUCUUUGACUCUAGUGUGAUGUAUGAUAUAAUUAGGUAUUACUGCACCCCAUAACUAAUGCUAAUGCUUCAGAGUCCUUUCAUUGUCUCAGGAUUAUUGGAGAUAAUCACUUUGACACAUUUUGUCAUCAAUUAUCUUAACUCUGUGGGGGAGACUUGCAGAUUAUGAAGGAGACUUUCAUCCUUUUGUCACAUGGCAAAAAACUGGGAAUGCUAUAACUAGGGAUCUGCCUAACUUGAGGAGGUGGCUGGCCAAUUUUGCAGGGAGAUUGCAGGGCUGGCUGUCAUAUUCACAAGCUGAUCGUGGUGGUACCCUCCUUCCCCCAUGCUGCUGAUUAGCUAUGAGGGCUGUCUGCCAUGCAGCUCCAUCUCUCACCACUGAUUGGUGGAGGGGUGGGGCCACAUGAUGGGAAGCCCUCUCAGCCAAUCAGUGGUGAGGGGUGGGGCUGGCAUUCAUCUUGGGCUGCCUUUUGUGCAGGCAGUAGGGCUGUGCAAAAUUUCGCCAGGUAUUUUGUUUCGCAGUUGUCUUAACGCGUUUCAAGCUUGAAACAGUGAUGUCAAAAUGAAACAAAAGCCUUUGAAACAGCUUUGAAAUGAAAUGAGGGCACUCAAAACAUUUCGAAAGUUUCAAAAUGUUUCGAGUUUACAAGCCAGGCUUACUUGGCUUCAGCAACAGUCCCAGCUGGCAGUAGCAGCCUGCUGUCAUCCCUCAUGCAGCUCCAGGGGCCGUGCCCCCAGGAGGAGUCUGGCACAGUCCCACAGUCCUCCCAAGGGUGCGGGCCCCUGGAUCUGUGCUGGAUGAUGGGAGUCUGUCACUGCCACCUGGGACCGGUGCCGGCUGCACCCUGUGCCCAACACCAGGAAGAUCGCUGCUGCUGCUGUGCUCCAAGCAGCUCCACCACUGGCUCUCUACUGCCUCCUGUUGCCAGACUUGGCUCCGUGGGACUGCAGAGCCUCCAGCUGUCAUGCUGUGCUCACCAGGGCUGCGCUCCAAGCUGCUCCUCCAGGCCCAUGGAGCUCAGCCGGCGGCGGGAGAUGACAGAGACAGUGGCAGAGCCACUUCAAGUACAGCCCUUGGUCUGAGUGCAGUCCUGGUCAGUGGCUUUCCCCCACCUCCUGCUGCUGGGCUCAGCUCUGGGCUGUGGAGCCACUAGGAGCGCAGCCCUGGUGGGAACUGUCUGAUGGCUAGAGGCUCCGCAGCCCCAUGGAGUUGAGUUUGGUGGUGGAAGGUGGCAGAGAGCCAGUGGCAGAGUUGUUUGGAGCACAGCCCUGGCUCCGAGCACAGCCCUGGCCAGUGGCUCUCUCCCACCUCCCACUACUGGGCUCAGCUCUGUGGGGCUGGCAGAGCUGCUUGGAGUGCAGCUCAGUGGCAGGAGAGCUAGGGCUGUGCUCCGAGAAGCUCUGCUAGCUCCAUGGAGCUCAGUCGAGUGGCGAGAGAUGGGGGAGCGCCAUUGGCCAGGACUGCACUCAGAGUCAGGGCUGCGCAUGGAGCAGCUCCACCACUGGCUCUCCCCCAUCUCCCGCUGCUGGGCUGAGCUCCGUUGUGCUGGCAGAGCACAGCCCUGGCUCUCCCCUGCCUCCCGCCACCAGGCUGUACUCCGAGCAUCUCCGCCAACCUCACAGAGAUCAGCCCCACAGCCCUCCCAGGAGUGCAGGCCCCUAGAUCUGCACUCAGGAUGACAGGAGGCUGCUGCUGCUGCCUGC